GCCUUGUAAUCUUAGCUACUGGGGAGGCUAAGGAUGGUGGAUCUCUUCAGCUCAGCUGCAAAGGGGAAAUAUCAAUCCAAUGUCUGCAUUAAGUUUGGCAUCAAUUUGGUGAGGCCCCAGGAGCAAGGGACCGCUAGGUUAUCUAAGGAAAAGGAGAACCAACCCAUAUUGGAAAUGGAGUAGAUCAAAGCUUGCUUGUGAGAUCAGUAGAGGGAUUGCAUUUGUGCAUAGCUCCUGCACUCGCAGCCUGGGCAAGAUGGAAAGACCCAUUCGUGU
rnacentral:SRP_RNA from 1 species